rnacentral:rRNA from 1 species
UACGAAGGGGGCUAGCGUUGCUCGGAAUCACUGGGCGUAAAGGGCGCGUAGGCGGCCAUUCAAGUCGGGGGUGAAAGCCCAGGGCUUAACCCUGGAAUUGCCUUCGAUACUGUUUGGCUAGAGACCGGAAGAGGUAAGUGGAACUGCGAGUGUAGAGGUGAAAUUCGUAGAUAUUCGCAAGAACACCAGUGGCGAAGGCGGCUUACUGGUCCGGUUCUGACGCUGAGGCGCGAAAGCGUGGGGAGCAAACAGG